UGUGAUGAUGAUGGGGUGGAUUGUCCUUGCUGAGGUAUCAGUGUCUUGACCAGAUUUUCAAGAUUGUCAAAUCUGGCUAGAAGUGAAUCAUAAGCGUCUUUACUAACAAUAUUGUUGUGGUCAAAUGUGCCAGAGGUAGAUGGUUGAUGUCUGAAUAUGUCUCCUCUUCCAACACUGUAAUAGGAGGCAAGUUGUCAUACCCCAUACAGUCGUCCUUUCUUCUUCCCCCCGACAACAUCAACCCAACAUUGAGUCUUGAUGAUUUCUUCUUCUACAUCUACUCUAGAGUUAGCAUCAGGAGCAUAUCCCCCCUCUGAUCUCGC
rnacentral:lncRNA from 1 species